rnacentral:rRNA from 1 species
CCUACGGGUGGCAGCAGUGGGGAAUAUUGCACAAUGGGGGAAACCCUGAUGCAGCGACGCCGCGUGAAGGAAGAAGUAUCUCGGUAUGUAAACUUCUAUCAGCAGGGAAGAAAAUGACGGUACCUGACUAAGAAGCCCCGGCUAACUACGUGCCAGCAGCCGCGGUAAUACGUAGGGGGCAAGCGUUAUCCGGAUUUACUGGGUGUAAAGGGAGCGUAGACGGAAGGGCAAGUCUGAUGUGAAAGGCCGGGGCUUAACCCCAGGACUGCAUUGGAAACUGUUUUUCUAGAGUGCCGGAGAGGUAAGCGGAAUUCCUAGUGUAGCGGUGAAAUGCGUAGAUAUUAGGAGGAACACCAGUGGCGAAGGCGGCCUACUGGACGGUAACUGACGUUGAGGCGCGAAAGCGUGGGGAGCAAACAGGAUUAGAUACCCGGGUAGUC